CACACACACACACACACACACACACACACACUUUCACUGCAUCCCUCAUCCCCCCUCCCUUACAACCCCCUCCCCACCUCUUACUCCAAACCCCAAAUGAUGGGUUUAUGACGCUGUGUUGGUUACUGGAAUGAACAAAAGUUCUUGUAUUUUUCCUUAAUCACCAAGUUUUUGCCAAUGGGAAAAUCUGACAAACAUAAGACAAUUUAAAUCCUCUAAAUGAAUACAUUAAAGUCCUGGUUGUUUGCUUUGUGGGGAGAUUGGUAAAUUACUGCAGUACCCACCAGUACUAGCCUACAAGGUUCAGAAAACACACACACCACCUCUCUCUCUCGCGCUCAGUGCCACUCUUUGUCUCUCAAUUCAGUUCAUAGGGCUUUAUUGGCUUGGGAAACAUAUGUUUACAUUGCUUAAGCAAGUGAAAUAGAUCAACAAAAGUGAGAAGAAACAAAAAAAAUGUCAACAAAAAACAGUAAACAUUAGACUCAAAGGUCUCUCUCUGUCCCUUUCUCUCUCUCCCUCUCUUUUCCCCCUCUCUCUCACUCACUCCCUCACUCUCUCUAUCUCCCUCACUGUCCCUCCCUCACUCUCCCUCUUUUGCUCUCUCUCUUUCUCUCUCUCCCUCUGUAUUUCACUCUCUCUGAUUGCUUAAUUGUCAUGAAAUACAAUUUGUAAAUAUUGCCAAAGCAGUAUAGUGGUCCAGCAGUUCAGUAAAUACAGUACAGUACAGUACAAUACAAUGAGGAUAAUGAACUACAGUUAAGUAAUUCCCAGCUUUAUGUCAUUAGUAAAUACAUUUCCUCUUUGGGUAGCCAUGUCUUUUUGUGUCUACCUUUUUCUAUAGCCAAUUGGUGGUCGCUGAGCCUGUACUUGGUCAGGAUCUGUCUCUGUUUUGUAUCUCUGCCAAUGUGGAUUCUCUUUUGAGGGCCCAAAUAGCAAUUUAGUUUAUUCUGAGUUUUUGUUAAAUUUUUUACAUUUGUCAAUAAGGUUUUCAUUUCUGGAACAAUCUGAUUGAUUUCCCUGUGUGUUUGGAUUAUAGGGUUGUUUAGUGUUUUAAACAGCUGACAUAGGGGACUCUUUUCAGGGUUCAGCUCUUCUUGGGUGUCCAGUGCUUUGAAAUGUAAAAAUGUUUUGGGGCUUAAUUUCAAAUGGUGACAAAAUUUGAGUGUCCUUUACAAUUAAAGGGAAUCUUCCGAGUUUCGCUCUGCAUGCAUUAUUUAGUACUUUCUUUUGGAUAUUUAGAUAAUUCUGCAGAAUUUUGUAUGUAGAUUUUCUAUUGGGUUUUUCUCUCAAUGCUUAUAAUCGUAAUUACAGGUUGGACCCCAAACCUCUCUUCCAUAUAGUACAAUUGGUAAAAUUACACUGUUGAUUAUUUAGCACUGGAUUUGGAUAGAAAUAAUUAUUGGUGAUAAAAUGCUUUGCAGGCUUUUUUCUUUUAGUGUAUUCACUGCCAGUCCAAAUCCACCAGAGGCUCUGAUUGUUAGUCCCAGGUAGUUGUACCAUUGGUCAUGUUCAACCAUGGUGAAGGAGUUUCUGCUGCUCUGAUUCCUGGCAUUUUUCUGGAAAAUCACAACUUUGGUUUUCUGAAAGUUCAUGUUGAUUGCCCAGUUGUUGCUGUAUUCCCGAAUAAUGUUAAGUUGUUCCUGUAAACCUUGCUCUGUUGGUGACAGUAAAACAAGGUAAUCUGCGUAGAGCAGGAAUCUCUACCUCAUCUCUGAGGGUGAGUCCAGGGGCUGUAGAUCGGUCCAACGACACUGCUAGUUCGUUGAUUUGGACGUUGAACAGGGUUGGACUUAAUCCUUAAGAGUCGUUUGACACACCCGUGCGUUAUGUUGUGUGAGGAAGGUCUGUAUAACAGUUUCCACAUGUUACUGGUGACACAUAUUCUCCUAGAGUUAUUAGAGUCUAAUUUGUCACCUGUUUUAUAUAUGGGGGUUAUGAGCUCCUGAUUCCAAGUAUCAGGCAAGCAGCCACUCUCCAAAACCAGGUCGAAUAGUUUGAAUAAGGCAUCCUGCAACUCAGGAGUACUGUGUUUAAGCAUUUAAUUCCUGAUGCUAUCAGGGCUACAUGCCUUUUUGUUGUUGAAAGUUCAGCGUGUGUAAUUUGGUAAUUUGGUAGUCAAUUAAAUACAAUUAAAUUAAAUACAAAUCAUUAAAAUCCAGACGGAAAAUAUUUACACAAGAAGCAACCUAAUAUCACACAGUCAAACUCUCAGUCAUUUAGUAAGUUCACCAUUAUUUUUAAUUGUGUGUUCUAGAGCUGAGUUUUCCUUGCAUAUUUUUGGGGCUUAAAGUAAGGUCUUCUGAUGGUAAUAUUCCAUAGAUAUUUUCAAUGUGAUCUUUUCAAAUGUUUGCAUGUUUUGGUCAUUCCUCUGUUUUCCAUUUAGACCAUUCCAUUUCUCCCAGAACUGGUGUCCAUCAAUGGAGUCUUCAAUCGCUUUGAGUGUUCUCAAAAUGCUUCCAUCUUAGGCUUUGUUUGAAUAUUCUUUCAAUGAUUCACAAUAUUGUUGCCCUACAUCUCUAUCCUGUGAUUUGUGAUGUUUUCUAUUUGAUAAAGAUUAAAAAAUAUAUAUCCUUAAA
rnacentral:lncRNA from 1 species